GGUUAAGUGAAUAAGGGCGCACGGUGGAUGCCUUGGCACUAGGAGCCGAUGAAGGACGGGACUAACACCGAUAUGCUUUGGGGAGCUGUAAGUAAGCUAUGAUCCAGAGAUUUCCGAAUGGGGGAACCCAAUAUCUUUUAUAGGAUAUUACUUUUCAGUGAAUACAUAGCUGAUUAGAGGUAGACGCAGAGAACUGAAACAUCUUAGUACCUGCAGGAAGAGAAAGAAAAUUCGAUUCCCUGAGUAGCGGCGAGCGAAACGGGAAGAGCCCAAACCAACAAGCUUGCUUGUUGGGGUUGUAGGACUCCAAUAUGGUAGUCUGUUAGUAUAGUUGAAGGAUUUGGAAAAUUCCGCUAAAGAGGGUGAAAGCCCCGUAGACGAAAUGCUGACAACACCUAGGAGGAUCCUGAGUACGGCGGAACACGAGAAAUUCCGUCGGAAUCCGCGGGGACCAUCCCGCAAGGCUAAAUACUCCCUAGUGACCGAUAGUGAACCAGUACCGUGAGGGAAAGGUGAAAAGCACCCCGGAAGGGGAGUGAAAUAGAUCCUGAAACCGUGUGCCUACAACAAGUCAAAGCUCGUUAAUGAGUGAUGGCGUGCCUUUUGUAGAAUGAACCGGCGAGUUACGAUUGCAUGCGAGGUUAAGUCGAAGAGACGGAGCCGCAGCGAAAGCGAGUCUGAAUAGGGCGAAUGAGUAUGUAGUCGUAGACCCGAAACCAUGUGAUCUACCCAUGUCCAGGUUGAAGGUGCGGUAAAACGCACUGGAGGACCGAACCCACGUACGUUGAAAAGUGCGGGGAUGAGGUGUGGGUAGCGGAGAAAUUCCAAACGAACUUGGAGAUAGCUGGUUCUCUCCGAAAUAGCUUUAGGGCUAGCCUCGGAAUUGAGAAUGAUGGAGGUAGAGCACUGUUUGGACUAGGGGCCCAUCUCGGGUUACCGAAUUCAGAUAAACUCCGAAUGCCAUUCAUUUAUAUCCGGGAGUCAGACUGCGAGUGAUAAGAUCCGUAGUCGAAAGGGAAACAGCCCAGACCACCAGCUAAGGUCCCAAAAUAUAUGUUAAGUGGAAAAGGAUGUGGGGUUGCACAGACAACUAGGAUGUUGGCUUAGAAGCAGCCACCAUUUAAAGAGUGCGUAAUAGCUCACUAGUCGAGUGACCCUGCGCCGAAAAUGUACCGGGGCUAAACAUAUUACCGAAGCUGUGGACUACACCAUUAGGUGUAGUGGUAGGAGAGCGUUCUAAGGGCGUUGAAGGUCGAUCGUGAGGACGGCUGGAGCGCUUAGAAGUGAGAAUGCCGGUAUGAGUAGCGAAAGACAGGUGAGAAUCCUGUCCACCGUAUGACUAAGGUUUCCUGGGGAAGGCUCGUCCGCCCAGGGUUAGUCGGGACCUAAGCCGAGGCCGAUAGGCGUAGGCGAUGGACAACAGGUUGAUAUUCCUGUACCAGUUGUUUUUGUUUGAGCAAUGGAGGGACGCAGUAGGCUAAGGAAUGCAUGCGAUUGGAAGUGCAUGUCCAAGCAAUGAGUCUUGAGUAGAGUUAAAUGCUUUA
rnacentral:rRNA from 1 species